GCCACAAUCUCUUGUCUUAACCAGACAGUCUCCUUCUGUGUCCCACUAAAGCACAGAAUACAAUCCCUGUUUCUAAAAACACACAGUCCUUUUGAGGAUUUUCCUUUUCUCUUUUGGAGUAUCUAGAGCUAGAAACAACAAGGAAACAGAAAAACAGGCAAAGGGUUCAAGCUGCAUUCUCUAAGGAAAGCAUUCACCAAUGACUGAUUCCAAGAACAAACUCUAGAAACAUGAUGGGUUUGAAUGCAGUCACCAUGAGCUAUGAACUGAAUCAAGAGCCACUGAAUGAUCACCCAACGGCUAAAAUAAAGUGAGUUAUUGACAGUCCACAAAUUCCCAGUGGUCCCCAGCAUAGUCAGAGCCCCAAAAUCACAACUGGCAUUUUGCUGCCUUUUCUAGCAGAGAACUACUUCAAUUCACAUAUCUGAUCCUUGCAACAGAUAUGUGGGAAAUGAGAAAAAGAAGAAAAUGUCAACAGCUUAUGAAGACACUUAGCUCUCAAGACAAGAUGGGCAUCUCUGUGCCUGGGUCUCUGGGAUUCUGGCCAAUGAAGUG
rnacentral:lncRNA from 1 species